UGUUUGGAUUUCCUCGGGCCUCAGUCAAAGAGUUCCUCUAGCAUGGAAGGGCACAGGGAGGAGUGAUUGGAGUAUCGAUUGGAGGGCUGGGGGUUGGGAUGAGGGAGGACAAGGACAUACACAGAGGAGGAUCGGUGAGGUUAAGAUCAUGUUGGGUAAGGACACACACAGAGGAGGAUCAGUGAGGUUAAGAUCAUGUUGGGUAAGGACACACACAUAUAUCAGUGAGGUUAAGAUCAUGUUGGGGUAAGGACACACACUCAGUGAGAUCAGUGAGGUUAAGAUCAUGUUGGGUAAGGACAUACACAUAUAUCAGUGAGUGAGGUUAAGAUCAUGUUGGGUAAGGACACACACAGAG
ensembl:lncRNA